AAUCAACGCUGGCGGCGUGCCUAACACAUGCAAGUCGAACGCGAAAGCCCCUUCGGGGGUAAGUAGAGUGGCGUCCGGGUGAGUAACACGUGGGUAAUCUACCCUCGGGUGGGGAAUAACCCAGGGAAACUUGGGCUAAUACCGCAUAAUGCAGCGGCACCUAAUGGUGAUUAGUUGUUAAAGCGGGGGAUCGCAAGACCUCGCGCCUGAAGAGGAGCCUGCGGCAGAUUAGCUAGUUGGUGAGGUAAUGGCUCACCAAGGCUGCGAUCUGUAGCUGGUCUGAGAGGACGGCCAGCCACACUGGCACUGACACACGGGCCAGACUCCUACGGGAGGCAGCAGUGGGGAAUUUUGGGCAAUGGGCGCAAGCCUGACCCAGCAACGCCGCGUGAGGGAGGAAAUCCUUCGGGAUGUAAACCUCUCAAGCAAGGGAAGAGAGCUGCGGGCUGAAUAAUCCCGCGGUACGACGGUACCUUGCGUAAGCCACGGCUAACUACGUGC
rnacentral:rRNA from 1 species